AAAAGUUGCCAGUCAAAAGGAUUAUUCCGGUCAUGUGACGUGCAAAUGCGAACAUCCGGAAAAGAAAAUAGAGGAAAGAAGGGUUGCUGGAGGAUGUUGCGGAAGAAAAGUAAAAGAAUCAUCGGCUAGUGGUAACUGUCCACCGGCGUGUUGUAAGAAUGAAAGAGGCUUAACCGAUUCGAAGAAAGAAUCCAAAGGAGCAUGCUGUAGAGAUAGGAAAUGAAAAAAAUCGAAAAAUAUAAACCUCAUUUAUUGACGUUUUGAUUUUUUUAC